CAUGCUGAUUUGUAGAUUAAUUGGCCAUUGUCGAUUGCCCCUGAUGUGUAAGGAGUGAUGUGAGAGUGG